GCCAGUAUAUUAACUUUGUUCAGAGUUCCUAGACGAGGCUAUUUAGGACUUUCUAUUUUACACAGUAAUCUGGCUUUGGUGGGGGAAUAUCUGCAGCUGCCUGAUUUAGGGAAUUCAGUAUCCAAUUUUUCUUUUGCACGAAGCCAGAAUUCAGUCCUGACAUCCACCAGUCCAGCACCCAGCUGAAGGAUGUGUUAUCAUCAUCACACAGCAGACCCAAGUCUUGCCUCAUAAUAUACUGGAAUAAGAUUAUGAUGGAUGCUCAAACAGCUGCUCCCCAGAUUGUCUUAUUUAAUGUGAUGGUCUGCAACAGACUCCCAGCAGAAUCUCAUCUUUUGGUUUAUUGGUUAGGAUACUGAUCCAUGAGUUCCAGGUUUUGUGCUUCUGAAUUAUCAAUAACUCCAAAGCCAGGUAAUGGCAUUUUUGAUGUAGCAUUUUGUUUCUCUCUCCCUUUCUUCCCCUUCCAUCUCUCUUAAACAUCUUGUUAUCUAGAUCUGGGGAAUAUUGCAAAAGCCUACAUUCAUUCAAAUAAACAUCAUACAUUCUGCAUGUUUCAGUAGCUUUGCAGAAACAUUAGUGAAGAUAUGAUAAUUUUGUUUGCAAAAAUGAUUGAGGCAGGAAAAGAUGUAUUGAAUGCAUGUGUUACAAAGUAUUUUCAAUGGAAGUGUUCAUGCAGCCAUCUUGAAAGCUCUUUGUCCAUUGUCCAAUCAGUGAGCAGGAAAAAAAAAUCAUGAAAUGUAAGAGACCAACCACAGGCAUGACUAUUAAUUACAAACAGGAAAUACUAGACAUAAUGGAUAGUUCAUGACCCAGAGGCCUAUUUGA